AGUGGAUUUCGACAUGACUUAAGUAGGUUUAUGCUUUUGUUUGUUUCGCAAUUUUACACGUUGCAGUAGGUAUAUAAUAUACUAGUGAUUUACAUAUAUUUUUUGUAUUUAUAGCUUUGAGUUCUGCUAAUAGUAUAUACCCUAACUAAAUUUUAAUGACUUGUCAUGGUUUUGCAAAUUUAGGAAUUUUACGGGCUACGUUUCCAAUUUUUUAACCGACCUAAAGAAGAGAUUCUAGUUUUGGAUAGUGCGUUUUUUUAAUUCCUUAAAAACAAUUGACAAAAUUUCACCUGUCAAACAGCCUGAACAGAUCUCAAGUGAUACUUACCGUUGACAAGCGGUAUGUCAUGUAAUUAGUUAAACAGCUUGAUGAAGAAAGAAUCUAAGAUUAUGUAUAUAAUUUGUGCUAUUUAAAUUAUACUGUUAUAUACGCUCAGUUUUAUUUUUACUAUUUUUACACUAUUUAAAAUGAUCUACAUACCGAACAUAAUAUCAAAAAUAUUCUAUGUUUGUGAAAUUCAGAUUAAUGCGGGACAUUACAGUCAGUGAAAAUCUGCACUGCACAAUCAAAAUGAAACUAUCGUCAGGUCGUUAAAUGAAGCGAUCCUUUCAUAACUAGAAAGUGGGUGCACGGUUUGAAUCAAAAAUAAAUGAAGUCAAAAUAAAUUAUAAUUGUAUUAUUUUAAAAUUGUUCAAAACGUUUACAAGUAAUUAAAGAUUAAUGGUAAUAUUUUACCGGAAGCCUUAUCAAAGAUUUCGUAAGAGUUUAAACAUAAAAAUUGAUGUAACCCAUGCCAAGAUGUUAUUUGCGAGAAAACGACUUAGCGACGGUGGAAGUAAAACCCUGCAUAACCUUUCAAAAGAAAGUAAUUAUUAUACAAAUUCAGUGGGCACAGCACUCGAGCAUAGUUACUUCUCAAUUGCAAAGAGAAAGUUGUGGAAUAUUCUCUCUUCUACAUUGGAGGUAAAUCGUAACGAUUACGUAUAAUUCCUUUUUUUAUUUAUUCUUUAUUAGAGCCAUACACCUAUUAGGUUAAGUCGGCUAUAUAAUUCCUUUAUAAAGUUCAAAAUUUUAUAGAAUACUAUUCUGUUACUUAUUUAUGAUAAAUAAAUAAACAAGUUUUGUUUUUAA